CGUAGGGUGCGAGCGUUAAUCGGAAUUACUGGGCGUAAAGCGUGCGCAGGCGGUUUUGUAAGCCAGAUGUGAAAUCCCCGGGCUUAACCUGGGAAUGGCAUUUGGGACUGCAAGGCUCGAGUGCGGCAGAGGAGACUGGAAUUCCUGGUGUAGCAGUGAAAUGCGUAGAUAUCAGGAGGAACACCGAUGGCGAAGGCAGGUCUCUGGGCUGACACUGACGCUCACGCACGAAAGCGUGGGGAGCAAACAGGAUUAGAUACCCUGGUAGUCCACGCCCUAAACGAUGUCGACUGGUUGUUGGGGGUUUGACACUCUCAGUAACGAAGCUAACGCGUGAAGUCGACCGCCUGGGGAGUACGGCCGCAAGGUUA
rnacentral:rRNA from 1 species